rnacentral:lncRNA from 1 species
UUUUUCUUCAAUAUCCUACAUGGUAUCAGAGCAAUAGCUCGAUACAGUGUCACAUUCAAUUUCUUUUUAACUGUUACAUUAGCUCCUUCUCUAGUAGAAAAUGGGUGACACAACCACUGCAGUUACAGAAACCAGUAAAACUCCAAAGCUGUGACCUAUGAUGCUAAUCACCCCUAUUAUCUCAACAAUGCUGAUUCACCAGGUAUGAAUCUAGUCAAUACAGUUUUUGAUGGAAGAGGAUACCCAGGUUGGAGAAAAUCCAUUCUACUAUCACUAUCAGCCAAACAGAGCUCGGCUUCAUCAAUGGAGCCUGCAAAUCUCAAGAUCUCACAUCUCCUGAGCUUGAGCAAUGGAGUUGUGUCAAUGGUAUGGUCAUCUAUUGGAUUCUCAAUGCUCUUUCAAAGGACACUACUGACCGUGUAAUCUACUCCAAGACUGCAAAGGAGCUUUGGGACAGCCUAGAGCAUAUGCUUUGGAGAUCAAAUGGAGCCAAGCUCUAUCACCUGCAAAAGGAAUCAUCAGGUUUAGUCCAAGGAAAUAGUGAUGUUGCAGGAUAUUUUACUAAGUUAAAACGUCUGUGGUAUGAGUUGGAUGAUUUAAAUGUUAUUAUUUGUUGCACUUGUGUGUGUGCCUGUGAAGGAAAAGGAAAAUUAGCUAAGUCACUGGAGGAUCAGAGAUUGAUCCAGUUCCUAAUGGGACUAAAUGACAUCUAUGCACAAGCAAGAGGAAACAUUCUGAUGAUGAAUCCCUUGCCUAGCAUAGAUUUUGCUUAAUCACUCCUCUUACAAGAUGAGAAUCAGAGAGAAGUAUAUGCAAAUACAAGUUUCAAUUCAGAAUCACUUUCAUUCAUGGCAAUUGGAGAUGCCAAACAACCCAAUGCCCAAUUUUUGGCAGAUUUUGCAGCUUUCAUGGUAGCAGGACAAGGGAAGAAUUUUCAGAAAAAUAGAAAUCAAGCACAAAGAGGGACUGCACUGGGGCAGAAAUAUAACAAUCCAGGACAGAAGUUCAGCAAACUACAACAUAAGUUUAAAGGAAAGAAGAGAUAUAAUCCAAAUGUAUUAUGUACCUACUGUGGAAAGACAGGCCACAAACAUGAGGACUGUUAUAGGAUCAUUGGAUUUCCAGAUGAUUUUGAGUUUACCAACUAAAAGAACUAUCAAAAUCAGAUCAAGGGAAUGCAGUACUGGCAUAUGAGGAUCAUGAAACUCAGGGGGGAACAGGCUGGUGAGAACAUCAAUAAUUUUGGGAAUCAGCUUACCAAAGAGCAAGUUGCAGAGAUGAUAACUAUGUACAAACAGGCAAAGCUCACACAGUGAGGCAAUUCAGGAAUUAAUGCCAAUGCAAUUGCUGGUACUAUUCUAAAAUACUCAGGUUCAGUGUUCACAACUCUAAAUUCAGACACUUGGAUCAUAGAUUUAGGUGCCUCGGAACUUAUGUGUUUUGAUCCUAAUUCCUUUUUGUUCCUUACUUAGCUUCUUGUACCUCUAAACAUCAAUUUACUUAAUUCUUUCAAGAUAAUUGUUACCCAUAUAGGAAGUGUCUCAAUUCUACCAGGUCAUUUCUAAACAAUGUUCUUCAUGUUCCAGAUUUCAAAUACAAUCUACUGUCAGUUUGUAGGUUCUGCACUCAAUUCAAAUAUGAUGUUUUGCUCACAUCUAUUGGGUGUAUGUUGCAGGGCCUUUCUCUGAAGAGUCCACAAGUUAUUGGUGAAGUUAGAAAGGGACUUUACAUUUUGGAUCCUAGUAGUCUUUAGUCCAAGGGUUUGUUCAGUAACAAUGUAGUUUCAAUUCAAAAAGGAAGCACUUCCAUUUCAGAGUCUAAACCUUUUUCUCAUCCUGCUUUUGUUAAUGCUAUUUCUGAUGUUAAACUUUGGCAUCUAAGGUUGGGGUAUCUUCUUUUUUCAGCAAUGAAACAUUUAGAUUUCCUUCAUUGUGACUCUAACUCUAACUUUAUGUGUGAUGUUUGUCCCAAGGCUAGGCAAACAAGAAAUCCUUUCCCAAUCAGCACCAUUAAGUCAAAUCACAUUUUUGAUAUAUAUAUAUAGACACAUGGGGGCCUUACAAGUCAAAUACCUAUAAUGGUUUUAGAUAUUUCUUACUAUAGUGGAUGAUUAUAGUAGGGGAACCUGGACAUUUUUGUUAUCUUCCAAAAGCAAUGUUUUCCCUAUGCUCAAAUCUUUCUUGUCUAUGGUUGAGAGACAGUUCAAUAGGAAGGUAAGGAUGAUAAGGUCUGACAAUGCACUAGAAUUGGGGAAAGGGACACAUGAAUCACCUUUUUGGCUUCAGAAGGAAUCUUGCAUCAACUAUCUUGUGUGGCAACACCACAACAGAAUGGAAUUGUUGAAAGAAAGCAUAGACAUCUAUUGAAAAUUGCUAGAGGCCUAAUGUUUCAGUCUAGACUGAAACAUUAGGCCUCUAGCAAUUUUCAAUAGAUGUCUAUGCUUUCUUUCAACAAUUCCAUUCUGUUGUGGUGUUGCCACACAAGAUAGUUGAUGCAAGAUUCCUUCUGAAGCCAAAAAGGUGAUUCAUGUGUCCUAUAUCCUAUUGGGGAGAAUCCAUUCUGACUGCUACACAUAUCUUGAAUAGGCUACCUUCAAGAGUUCUUGAAGGAAAGACACCAUAUGAAGUUCUGCUUCAACAUAAACCAAAGUAUGAUCAUUUUAGAAAUUUUGGAUGCCUAUGUUAUGCUUCUACAUUGAAACUGGGAAGGGGAAAGUUUGAUGAGAGGGCAACAACUUGUGUUAUGCUUGGUUAUUCCAUCCAACAAAAGGGAUACAAAUUACUAGAAUUAUCUACCAGAAAAGUUUUUGUGUCAAGAGAUGUUAAGUUUCAUGAAUCCCAUUUCCCUUUUACAGAAAUCACUACAGAACACCAUCUUAUUUUUCCAACUUCAACCUUCAACUCUAAACCUACCUUUUCUUUCACUUCACCAGAUCAAACACAGCCUAAUUCCUCAAGCCAUGAAAUACUAGAUGGUUUUUCACCACAACCAUCGAUACCUUCCUCCCAUUCACCUAUUUAUCACUCAGUCUCACAUAGCCCAGUUACUCAUAUAUCUGAACCUACACCUCAACACCCUAUUCCUUUGAGGACAUUAGUAAGGAUCUCCACUCAACCUUCCUACUUGAAGGAUUGUGUGUAGUAGCAUCAUGUUCUCAGAUAUAGCUAUAACAUGUUUCACUCACCCCUGUCAGGCAAGAGAAUGCAGUUUUUCAUCCCUAUCGCCCAAUAACCAACAUAUCAUGCAAUCUAUUUCUACUAUAAGAGAACAUUGCACUUUUGCCCAAGCUUGUCAGCAUCCAGGAUGGGUAGAAGCCAUGAAUGCAGAAAUUGGAGCUUUAGAGGACAAUCACACUUGGGAUGUGGUGAAUUACCAAAAGGAAAAAGUGUUUUACCUUGUAAAUGGAUAUACAAGGUAAAGCAAUUAUCAGAUGGGACAGUUGAAUGAUUAAAGGCUAGAUUGGUAGUGAGGGGGGUGUUUAAAGAGAAUGCAUAGAUUAUGGUGAGACCUUCUCGCCAGUGGUUAAGAUGACAACCAUUAGGUGUCUUCUCACUGUUGCAGCUAAGAAAUAUGGAUUGUUUCUCAAUUGGAAGUAAAUAAGUCUUUCCUACAUGGAGACCUUCAAGAAGAGGUUUACAUGAAGUUCCCUGCAGGUUUGGCUCCCCCUAGUCCCAAACAUGUCGGCCUUUUGAGAAAAUCAUUGUAUGGCUUAAAGCAAGCAUCCAGGCAGUAGUAUGCCAGACUUGCUGGAGCUUUAAGUUUUACGGGAUAUUCAUCUUCUUUAAAUGACUAAUUUUUGUUCUUCAAGCGUACAUGAAACCUUAUUUCUAUUCUAGUAGUCUAUGUUGGUGACAUACUGAUUACAAGAGAUGAUCUAGAUGAGAUUCAAGGGAUCAAGUCUUUCCUGAAUAUUAAAUUCAAGGUCAAACAUUUGGGAAACAUUCAUUAUUUUCUAGGCAUGGAGAUCUUGAAAGAAAAAGAAUGCUUUAUGGUGAGUCAAAGAAAGUUUACCUUAGAUAUGCUGCUGGAAUUUGAUGUCUCACAUUUGCCUCGAGUGAGCUCCCCUUUGGAUCAUUCUAUCAAACUUCAAGAUGAUGGUCAAUACCUAUAAAACCCCACCGUAUAUCGUCAUUCGGUUGGAAAAUUAAAUUUUUUAACCAAUACACUGCCAGAUCUUUGUUUUGUUGUUCUUACCCGUAGUCAAUAUAUGCAGAAACAAUGCCUUUCCCAUUUUUCUGCUGCUUUUUGCGUAGUCAAAUACCUCAGUUCUGACCCAUGUCAAGGGAUUUUACUUUCUAGUGAACCAUCUUUUUCUUUACUUGCUUUCUGUGAUGCAGAUUGGGCUUCCUGCAAAGAUUCACGGGGAUCUGUUAGUGGUUUCUUUAUCACCUUAGGAGGAGUACCUAUUUCAUGGAAAUCAAAGAAGCAAGCCUCAAUUUCUCUGUCUUUCGCAGAGGGGGAAUACAGAUCUAUGCGAAGAGUGACUGCAGAGCUUACCUGGUUGGUUCGACACCUUGACGAUCUUUCUGCUCCAGUCACUCUUCCAUUUCCCCUUCAUUCUGACAGCAAAGCAGCAAUCCACAUCGCUCGGAACCCAGUUUUCCACGAACGAACAAAACAUGUGGAAAUUGACUGUCAUUUUGUGCGACAGCAAUUCCUUUUGGGCUUGAUUACUCUCUUUUUUGUUCCCUCCAAGGCUCAACUCGCAGACAUAUUUACAAAACCUCUUUCUGGGUUUUCUCAUCGAGAUAUUUUAUGCAAGUUGGGGGUAACUACGUUCCCCUCCAUCUCGAGGGGGGAUGUUGAGAAGAAGGACUUUUAUUUUCAUGAAGAUGAAGGAAGCAAAGCUAAGAAGAAGAAUGAGAAGAAGAAGAAAGAGUUUCAGACAAGAAGA